rnacentral:rRNA from 1 species
UACCGGCACCCCGAGUGGUCGGGACGAUUAUUGGGCCUAAAGCAUCCGUAGCCGGUUCUACAAGUCUUCCGUUAAAUCCACCUGCUUAACAGAUGGGCUGCGGAGGAUACUAUGGAGCUAGGAGGCGGGAGAGGCAAGCGGUACUUAGUGGGUAGGGGUAAAAUCCGUUGAUCCAUUGAAGACCACCAGUGGCGAAGGCGGCUUGCCAGAACGCACUCGACGGUGAGGGAUGAAAGCUGGGGGAGCAAACCGG